rnacentral:rRNA from 1 species
CAGUAGCCACGGGAAUACGAGGGGGGCAAGCGCUGUUCGGAAUUAUUGGGCGUAAAGGGUGCGCAGGCGGUUUGAUAAGUCUGAUGUGAAAGCCCCCGGCUCAACCGGGGAGGGGCAUUGGAAACUGGGAAACUUGAGUGCAGAAGAGGAGAGUGGAAUUCCACGUGUAGCGGUGAAAUGCGUAGAGAUGUGGAGGAACACCAGUGGCGAAGGCGACUCUCUGGUCUGUAACUGACGCUGAGGAGCGAAAGCGUGGGGAGCGAACAGGAUUAGAUACCCGUGUAGUCCCUGUCUCUUAUAC